rnacentral:rRNA from 1 species
CCCUUAGACGUUCUGGGCCGCACGCGCGCUACACUGACGAAGGCAACGAGCUUUCCUUUACCGAAAGGUACGGGUAAUCUUUUGAAACUUCGUCGUGCUGGGGAUAGAUCCUUGCAAUUUUUGAUCUUAAACGAGGAAUGCCUAGUAAGCGCAAUUCAUCAACUUGCGUUGAUUACGUCCCUGCCCUUUGUACACACCGCCCGUCGCUACUACCGAUUGAAUGGUUUAGUGAGGCCUUCGGAUCCGCGACUCGUUUUGUGGAGAAGUUGGACAAACUCAGUCAUUUAGAGGAAGUAAAAGUCGUAACA